AUUCCAGCUCCAAUAGCGUAUAUUUAAGUUGUUGCAGUUAAAAAGCUCGUAGUUGGAUUUCGGAUGAAUGCGACCGGUCCGUCGUUACGAUGUGUACUGGUUGCGUCCAUCUUGCUGUCGGGGACGCGCUCCUGGCCUUAACUGGCUGGGACGCGGAGUCGGCGAAGUUACUUUGAAAAAAUUAGAGUGUUCAAAGCAGGCUUACGCUCUGAAUACAUUAGCAUGGAAUAACGCGAUAGGACUCUGGUCUUAUAGUGUUGGUCUUCGAGACCGGAGUAAUGAUUAAGAGGGACAGUUGGGGGCAUUCGUAUUUCAUUGUCAGGGGUGAAAUUCUUGGAUUUAUGAAAGACGAACUUCUGCGAAAGCAUUUGCCAAGGAUGUUUUCAUUA
rnacentral:rRNA from 1 species